UGGGGAUUCGCCAAGUGGUAAGGCACUAGCUUUUGGUGCUAGCAUUCACAGGUUCGAAUCCUGUAUCCCCAUCCA
rnacentral:tRNA from 2 species